rnacentral:tRNA from 1 species
AAUCUUUUAGUCAAUUUUAUGAUUUCAAAUUGCAAAUUUGGAGGUGUCUUUAAGACUAAGAUUU